GCAGUGGGGAAUCUUAGACAAUGGGCGCAAGCCUGAUCCAGCCAUGCCGCGUGAGUGAUGAAGGCCUUAGGGUCGUAAAGCUCUUUCGCCAGGGAUGAUAAUGACGGUACCUGGUAAAGAAACCCCGGCUAACUCCGUGCCAGCAGCCGCGGUAAUACGGAGGGGGUUAGCGUUGUUCGGAAUUACUGGGCGUAAAGCGCACGUAGGCGGAUCAGAAAGUAGGGGGUGAAAUCCCAGGGCUCAACCCUGGAACUGCCUCCUAAACUCUCAGUCUAGAGUUCGAGAGAGGUGAGUGGAAUUCCGAGUGUAGAGGUGAAAUUCGUAGAUAUUUGGAGGAACACCAGUGGCGAAGGCGGCUCACUGGCUCGAUACUGACGCUGAGGUGCGAAAGUGUGGGGAGCAAACAGGAUUAGAUACCCUGGUAGUCCACACCGUAAACGAUGAAUGCCAGUCGUCGG
rnacentral:rRNA from 1 species